GGGGGAGAAUGGGCAUCCCACCCCAGCACUUUCUAGGAAGAAGGGCAGCAUUUUGAAGGGCUGGAAGUAGAGGAAGGAGGUUGCGGGUAGAAGACUCCAUACUUUCUGUGACGCCUAUUCCUUAGCUUGUGAUGAAUGUUUUCUCAGUAUCCUAUGCUGAAAACAGGUAGAUACUAAUAUCGAUCUUCAAGGGAGGGCUGUUGAGUAUUGAAUAAGACAAAAACAUGGAAGCAAUCAGCACCAUGCUGGAAUCAAGGCUAUCUGUAAUCACAGGGCUAUUUGAAAAAGAGAAGAAAAGGUGUCUUGAAAUUCAACCAACAUGUUUCAAUUAUUUGCUCCUAAGAACAACAGAAGUUUCAACAUUCUGCCAACAGAGUAACUCCUGGAAGAUUGGCACAGAAGAAGGCACAAGGAGAGCCUUUAUAUAACCAAAGAUAUUUUUGGACCAUGAAUUCAGAAAUUCUCGGAGCCACCCAUCAGUGCCUGAGCUUCAGUGAGUCCAUAUCCCAUGUCACCCACGGCAAAGGAGACUCUAAGACUUCUGAAGAGUUUCUUGCUUCUUUCCUGUGGGGCAGUGACUCCACUUCCCAGCAGUAAUGGAAUAUCCUGAAUUAGCUACAUUAAUGUUAGAACCAUUUGGACCUCACCCAGGACUUCAACUACAUUAUGGUUCUAGUAUGUUACGUUUAUGUUCCCCUGCUUUCUACAAUCCUGUUCAAAGAGUUGCUGACUUAACCACAGAGAGGAUUCCAGAACCUGAGACACAGAAUAAACUUGAGCAAUCAUAGUCCAUCCACUUCAUUGUCUCAUCAAAAACCAAAGGUCCAGUGAAGCUCUGGAACUCAACGCUGUAAAGGAGCGAAGGAGCUUCUAUACAGAGCCUGGAUGCCUGUCUCCUUAUCCUA
rnacentral:lncRNA from 1 species